rnacentral:rRNA from 1 species
UACGGAGGGUGCAAGCGUUGUCCGGAAUCAUUGGGCGUAAAGAGUUCGUAGGUGGUUUGUUAAGUUUGGUGUUAAAUGCAGAGGCUCAACUUCUGUUCGGCAUCGGAUACUGGCAAACUUGAAUGCGGUAGAGGUGAAGGGAAUUCCUGGUGUAGCGGUGAAAUGCGUAGAUAUCAGGAGGAACAUCGGUGGCGUAAGCGCUUUACUGGGCCGUAAUUGACACUGAGGAACGAAAGCCGGGGUAGCAAAU